AGCGUAGGAUAUUAGGGGUCAGGUACCUGUGAGGGUAGGAUAGUAGGGAUCAGGUACCUGUGAAGGGUAGGAUAGUAGGGAUCAGGUACCUGUGAAGGUAGGAUAUUAGGGGUCAGGUACCUGGGAGGGUAGGAUAUUAGGGGUCAGGUAGCUGUGAGGGUAGGAUAUUAAGGAUCAG